rnacentral:rRNA from 1 species
UACGUAGGGUGCAAGCGUUGUCCGGAAUUAUUGGGCGUAAAGAGCUCGUAGGCGGUCUGUCGCGUCUGCUGUGAAAACCUGGGGCUUAACCCCGGGCCUGCAGUGGGUACGGGCAGACUAGAGUGCGGUAGGGGAGACUGGAAUUCCUGGUGUAGCGGUGAAAUGCGCAGAUAUCAGUAGGAACACCGGUGGCGAAGGCGGGUCUCUGGGCCGUAACUGACGCUGAGGAGCGAAAGCAUGGGGAGCGAACAGG